rnacentral:rRNA from 1 species
GGCCGAGGCGUUAUUCGUCUCGCGUUUCGAGGGCUGACCGGCGUCUUCCUUUUGGUACGCGCGUAAGGGGGAUGCACUCCCCGGCCCGAAGUAGGGCGUCGCGGCCGUUUGAGGGGUGUCGAAGGCCCGGGGGUCUGGGAAACCCGAUUUUUCCCGCGCGCGUCGCCUCGUGCGGCGCGAACGGGUCGAGCGGGGCCGCCUCGGUGUCCUGACGGUCCCUCGGACGGUGAAAUCACCGACUGAAGCGAGCCGGUUGGUGGUUUGACGGGGUGUCGGCCUCUCGUUCGUUCCGCCCUUCCUCGUCGUCGUCGUCGUUCCUCGUCAAAGGGGUUUCGCGCGGCGGCGGCCGAGGGGGGUGGGCGAUGAAGUCGCGCCCGACUAAACGUCCCGGCUUCGCGAACGCGGCGGACUGUUACCGCGACUGCUUACUCGUCCCGUCUUGAAACACGGACCAAGGAGUCUAGAAUGCGCGCGAGUCAAAGGGUUGGCUAAACCCCAAGGCGAAACGAAAGUGAUUAUUUCGAUAAAAGGGCCGAUCCGGUUCGUGCGGGAGAGUUAGGGGCGUUGUGGCGGGAGGAUUGCGCGGCGGCGGCGGGGUCGGGGUUCGCCUCGUUCUCGUCGUCGUUCGCGCGUUCUCUCUCCCUCGCUCUUAAUUCGCUCUCCCCGCGAUUCGUCUCCCUAAUAUGAGGACGGCGCAGGCCCGGGGCUCGCCAAUGCUUCCUCCCCGCCGUUAAGGCUCGGUCGUUCGUUUUUCUCGUUCGUCGAGGCGCGGAGAGGCUCUCGUCGGGGCCUUCCCCUCGUACUACCUUCGCUCGUUGUCGCUCCGGUGGCGGCGGGAGAGGUGUACGGGGAGUCGGCUUCCGUGAGAGUUUUUUUCUCCGCGUUCUCGCUUUCGAGGCGGCGACUAGCUGGCGUGGGACGGGCGGCGGGUUCUCCGAGCGCGUAUUCUGGUACCCGAAAGAUGGUGAUCUAUGCCUGGCCAGGAUGAAGCCAGAA